UGAUGAUACCUCGGGAGGAUCAUCUACUUCCAGAAAACAGUUGAUCUUGGAUAACUGAAACCACAGGAAGCAAAACUGCGGAUAAUUGGAGGGUUAAAGGUCAACUUCAUCAAGUCAUCUCAUUAACACAGAAAUGUCUUUGAAGGUAUUCAGUCUUUGCCAUGCUUGACAUUUCACCAAGAUGCCAAAGAAUCAGAUUCAAAUAUUAAUGAGCAAAAGGUCACAAUGAGCACUUUGAACAUACAAACCUACUGCCUUCUGUUCUCCAAAGUUCCUGCUGAGAAAAGUGGAAUAAUUUGAGCAUGAGAACCAAGUUGGAAAUGGGGCAGCUACGCUUUGGGACAUUCUAUGCACGUGGCAGAGGGAAAAGAGUGAUGGAAGAACCACAGAAUGUCUCUCACAGCUUCUUCUGAGAAGUAACAUCUGAAACACUUCCAUUUCACUAAUCAGAGCAAGUCAUAUGGCCAAGGCUACACAGGGAAGGGAACUGAAUAUCUGCGAAUGAUACAAUCUACUAGAACAAUUAAUCACAACAGACUGAAUGCGGAAGCUGUAAGAAAUCAGCUGUCUUCUAUGAAGCUAGACAGUAAAAGGAUUUGCAAAAAUGUAAAACAAUGAUGCUCAGAAGAGUA